rnacentral:SRP_RNA from 2 species
UUCUCGGGCCUGUGCAAUGGGGGCCUGUGAAUCGUGUCAGGACUGAGAGGUAGCAGCACUAAGUGGUAACCUUCAUGUGCCACGGGGAACCCGGGGGCUG